rnacentral:rRNA from 1 species
UCCUACGGGGGGCAGCAGUGGGGAAUCUUCCACAAUGGGCGAAAGCCUGAUGGAGCAACGCCGCGUGGGUGAAGAAGGUCUUCGGAUCGUAAACCCUGUUGUUAGAGAAGAAAGUGCGUGAGAGUAACUGUUCACGUUUCGACGGUAUCUAACCAGAAAGCCACGGCUAACUACGUGCCAGCAGCCGCGGUAAUACGUAGGUGGCAAGCGUUAUCCGGAUUUAUUGGGCGUAAAGGGAACGCAGGCGGUCUUUUAAGUCUAAUGUGAAAGCCUUCGGCUUAACCGGAGUAGUGCAUUGGAAACUGGGAGACUUGAGUGCAGAAGAGGAGAGUGGAACUCCAUGUGUAGCGGUGAAAUGCGUAGAUAUAUGGAAGAACACCAGUGGCGAAAGCGGCUCUCUGGUCUGUAACUGACGCUGAGGUUCGAAAGCGUGGGUAGCAAACAGGAUUAGAUACCCGCGUAG